rnacentral:rRNA from 1 species
AGCGCAGGCGGGAAACUAAGCGGAUCUUAAAAGUGCGGGGCUCAACCCCGUGAUGGGGUCCGAACUGGUUUUCUUGAGUACAGGAGAGGAAAGCGGAAUUCCCAGUGUAGCGGUGAAAUGCGUAGAUAUUGGGAAGAACACCAGUGGCGAAGGCGGCUUUCUGGACUGUAACUGGCGCUGAGGCUCGAAAGCUAGGGUAGCGAACG